UUUUCCUUUGGUCUUUAUCAUGAUCUUAGCACCAAUUUACGACCAUUUCAUUAUCCCAUUCGCCAGGAAAGUGACUAAAUCCGAAAUGGGCAUCUCUCAUCUGCAAAGAAUAGGCAUUGGUUUAGUUCUUUCUAUAGUAGCAAUGGGAGUGGCAGCUGUCGUUGAAAUCAAGCGGAAGAGAGUUGCCACAAAUUCAGGACUACUAGACUCGACUGACCCAUUGCCCAUCACAUUCUUCUGGAUUGCUUUCCAGUACUUAUUCUUGGGAUCAGCAGAUCUUUUCACAUUGGCUGGGCUGUUGGAAUUUUUCUUUACGGAGGCACCCACAGGCAUGAAAUCCUUAGCAACAUCUCUUUCUUGGGCAUCCUUGGCCAUGGGGUACUACCUGAGUUCAGUAAUCGUCUCAUUAGUAAACAAUGUCACAGAUAACUCCACACACAGACCAUGGCUCUCAGGCAACAACAUAAAUCACUAUCACCUGGAACGAUUCUACUGGCUGAUGUGCGUGCUAAGCGCUGUGAAUUUCUUGCAUUACCUUUUCUGGGCCAACUGGUACAAAUAUAGAUCAACAAGAGGUA
rnacentral:lncRNA from 1 species